rnacentral:lncRNA from 1 species
ACGAAUUCAAAGCAAGAGAUGAAGUGGCUGCAGGAUUUGAAUCCCUAAUUCCAAUGAUAACUGCUAACAAAAAUGUCAAUUGGAUCAACUACAUCUAUUAUAAUCAGCAGCGCUUCGUUAACUACACAAGGGAUGCCCUGCAGGGCCUAGCAGAACAGUUACAAGCCACUACUCAAAUGACAUUUCAGAACAGAAUGGCCCUAGAUAUGAUUUUAGCUGAGAAAGGGGGAGUAUGUAAGAUCCUCCCUGAGACUAUGACAUGUUGCACAUACAUUCCAGACAACACUGGGCCAAAUGGUAAGGUGACUACGGCCAUAGAAAAGCUAGAUAGCCUUUCUGAUGAACUAAAGAAAAAUUCAGGAGUCACUGACACUUGGGACAGAUGGUUUGGGUGGAUGAAUGGUUGGCAAAGGACUCUCUUCCAGGUAGGGACAGCUGUUCUUAUAAUGAUUAUCAUAUUCUUAUUUUUAACCUGUUGCGUGCUCCCUUGCAUACAGAAGUACUUACAGAAAGCGGUAGAUAAGACUAUAGAUGACGUGACCCCUACUUUCCUGCAUCAAGACAUCACAGACCUCAAAGAUGACACUCCACAUACACCCCUCCAAUCACACCAGUUCAAACAGACAACUGCUCUCCUGUAGGGACAGUGUAGGGAAAGCGUCUGUCUUGGCAGGCGAGUCUCACGUGUGGAGAUGUGGUGGACUAGCCGCUGCGGGUUACCCACGGAGUGAAGUGUUCGAUGCUUGUUAAGACAGAUGAGCUGCAGGCAGCUAGGGACAUAUUAGGGACAGUAGCAGUUGUUAUGGUAAAUAGCCAUUUUAGGGGGGACUGUUGUGGAAAUAAGGUCUGCACAUAU